UAAUAUUACGAUUAUUUUUGACUUCAAAAAAAUAAAUAGCAAAUUUAAUAUUAAAGAUGUCUUAUAUUUCAGAUUAUAACUUUUUUAUGGCAUGGGUGUAUGGGUGGUAUUGUUAAGGACUAACAUAUUCUAUACUGUUUAUAUUGCUUAUUGCAUGCUUUUGGUAAAGAAAUAUUUGACAAAAAUAAUAUGCCUUUACUAACUGAAUUACUUACAGCCUACAGAUUUUAUUAAUUUAGACCAAAAGUUAACUUCAUUGACAACAAACAGAAAACUAGUUUUCUCUAAAUUUAAUUUUAUUCUAAUAUCAGAGAUACAUAGUUUAAUUAUUAUUAUUUUGCAAGAUUAUAACUAUUUUAUGGUAUGGAUGUGAAAUAUGGUGCAGGAUUAACAUAUUAUAUACUGUAUAAUAUAUUGCUAUUGCAUGCUUUUGGUGGAGAAAUAAAAAGUUUGA